rnacentral:rRNA from 1 species
AGCGGAACUUUGGGAGCUUGCUCCCAUUUGUUUAGCGGCGGACGGGUGAGUAACACGUGGGCAACCUGCCCUGCAGAUCGGGAUAACUCCGGGAAACCGGUGCUAAUACCGAAUAGUUUUUUGCCCCUCCUGGGGCGAAACGGAAAGACGGUUUCGGCUGUCACUGCAGGAUGGGCCCGCGGCGCAUUAGCUAGUUGGUGAGGUAAUGGCUCACCAAGGCGACGAUGCGUAGCCGACCUGAGAGGGUGAUCGGCCACACUGGGACUGAGACACGGCCCAGACUCCUACGGGAGGCAGCAGUAGGGAAUCUUCCGCAAUGGACGAAAGUCUGACGGAGCAACGCCGCGUGAGUGACGAAGGUUUUCGGAUCGUAAAACUCUGUUGUAAGGGAAGAACACAUGCCAUUUAACUGAUGGCAUCUUGACGGUACCUUACCAGAAAGCCACGGCUAACUACGUGCCAGCAGCCGCGGUAAUACGUAGGUGGCAAGCGUUGUCCGGAAUUAUUGGGCGUAAAGCGCGCGCAGGCGGUCCUUUAAGUCUGAUGUGAAAGCCCACGGCUCAACCGUGGAGGGUCAUUGGAAACUGGAGGACUUGAGUGCAGAAGAGGAAAGUGGAAUUCCACGUGUAGCGGUGAAAUGCGUAGAGAUGUGGAGGAACACCAGUGGCGAAGGCGACUUUCUGGUCUGU